AUCUUCAGUAAGCCAGUGCACUCUCUGCCAGUUGGACCACUGCAUUUCUAAUACCGCACUGCACUCCUGAUACACCACUGCAUCCUGAACCCCCAUAAUUAAUCCAUAAUGAUCAUUACUUCUUCUUAGAUCUUAGCAGACAACCGAUAUAUCACUCCACCCAACCUACUACUCUCUACAGCCCAAUGUAUUCCCAGAAUCCCACAGCGAUGCCAGUUUCCGAUCUAUGUUCUUCCAGCAUCCCGAAGUACAAGAGCCUCCCCUUAUCUUGGUCUUGACUCUCCUUCCGUGACCAUCCUUGGCUGGAAUUUCCUUCUUCGAUUGUGGACAGUGAAGUGCACGCCAGAGACUACAGACUUGCCCUGGCCUCUCCUUUUGGACAAGUCUUCUUCAGCGCCUUGUAUUCUAGUCUUCUCCUCGGUCCUAUACAAGAGGAACUCGGAGAACAAAUCAAAUUCCAAAGUUGUGUAAAUGACUUUGUCUUCAUCCAUUAAUGAGAUGAUCCUCGCAAAUAAUUCUCAGAAUUUUCUGCAUCUAUCACAGAAAUGACUACUACUACCACAACUAACAAUAAUAUUCAUCUACAAAAAAAGAACCAGAGAGACAGAGAAAAGAAGAGACUGGAUCCAAAGCACACCAGCCACCUUCCAGGUAUUUCCAAGUUUAAAGGAAGUUCUAAUAGGUUUGGUGACUAGUUCAAGGAUUUUUCUCUCACUCUCUUGGAGUUAAAUGGGAUCUCAUGAAUUAUUCCUAAGCUAUUGAGAAAGGGGUAACUAAUAGGCGUGAAUAAAAAAAAAAAGUAAAAUAGAUCAUGCAGUGCCUACACAAUAGAUAUCCUUGCUCUCUGGACAAUGAAUGGAGAACUCUCUUAGGAUUUCUGCACACGUCUGCCAACAGCUUGGCCAGUUCUGAGAACCACAAAUGAUUCCCAGACGCAUCUUUAGGAAGCUGUGUGAAAAUAGGCACAAGACAUCAAAUUAUUACAACUAAGUUAAGUGAGCCCCCCGCCUCCCCUUUGCCCACCCCUGGCCUUAUCUCCCCCGACACACUCUUUCUCUCCCUUUUCUUUAAACACACACACACGCUAUAUGUCAUCCUUGGCAUCAGUUGGGUGUCAGCGGUCUACUUACCUAAAGUUUUUUGCAAGGGAUUUAACCCAACCUGGAAGAUAAACCUUACAAAACCGGAGUCCCAGUCUACGAGCUAGGAGAAGACGUAACCAAGAUCACUUAAAACACAACAAGAACAAGUGGGCAUUCCGAGCUCCGAAGGCACGGACACAAUCCCGUAUUUCCGGUACACGAGGUGCCAGCCGGGUGAUACACUGGCAGCAGAAUAUAUGGAGGACAUAUGUCUUGAAGGACAAUGAAUGCAGUGUUCAACAACUACAUAUCACGGGAAACGGAAGCUGGAUUUAAGAUGAAGAAUAAAUACGAUGAAGAAGAAGAGAAAUUAUCCCCACGCGCUAAUCAUUAUGGACUCAAGUGCUGUGUGUCCUUGCUGGACAUGAAGGAAAUGUAUUCCAUAUGUCAUCGAUGGAACUGGAUGUUCAAGAAGACUCAUCAAGCUGUCCUGGCAACGCCUUCAGAUGAGAGACUGCUGUGACACGGAAGGCUGAGCGCUUCCUAAGGAAAGAGGAGCCUAUCCUAUGACGACUAUGAAAAGGAGCAGGGCCCUUGCAGCAGUGCCCCCUGCAGGCUGUUGUUGAAUUCGCAGAGAAAAACACAACCAUGUAAGUAUGUGUUUGUGCCGAGGCAUCCAUCUACAUUGUGUAGCAGUGAAGCAGACCCAUGGGGUAAAGAGUGGUGUCAGAGGGUGAAAAGCUGUCCCAAAGAAAACCAGGAUUCAAGAUGUAAGUUAAUUAAGAAGGGUAUUACAACUGAUAAGUAAGAUACAAAAUAAAUGAAAGGCCAGGCUAAAAGGUACAAUUAGAGACGAUGCAUGAAAGGAUUAUGUGGACAUUUAGAGAUAUCAAAUAUAAUGCUUUAUAUUGAGGAGAUCAUCAUAAUGGAAGGUGGCAUACAGAGAUGAAAAAAAUAA